rnacentral:rRNA from 1 species
GACGAACGCUGGCGGCGUGCUUAACGCAUGCAAGUCGAACGGAAAGGCCCUGCUCUUGUUGGGUGCUCGAGUGGCGAACGGGUGAGUAACACGUGAGUAACCUGCCCUUGUCUUUCGGAUAACUCCAGGAAACUGGGGCUAAUACCGGAUAGGAGCUCUUGCUGCAUGGUGGGGGUUGGAAAGUUUCGGCGGUUGGGGAUGGACUCGCGGCUUACCAGCUUGUUGGUGGGGUAGUGGCUUACCAAGGCUUUGACGGGUAGCCGGCCUGAGAGGGUGACCGGCGACAUGAGGACUGAGAUACGGCGCAGACUGCUACGGGAGGCAGCAGGGGGGAAUAUUGCACAGUGGGCGGAAGCCUGAUGCAGCAACGCCGCGUGCGGGAUAACGGCCUUCGGGUUGUAAACCGCUUUCGCCUGUGACGAAGCGUGAGUGACGGUAAUGGGUAAAGAAGCACCGGCUAACUACGUG